AAGGGCAUAGCUCAAGUGGCAGAGCGCAUGCUUAGCACGCACGAGGUCCUGGGUUCAAUCCCCAGUACCUCCA
rnacentral:tRNA from 1 species